AUUGAACGCUGGCGGCAGGCCUAACACAUGCAAGUCGAAUGGUAACAGGAAACAGCUUGCUGUUUCGCUGACGAGUGGCGGACGUGUGAGUAAUGUCUGGGAAACUGCCUGAUGGAGGGGGAUAACUACUGGAAACGGUAGCUAAUACCGCAUAACGUCGCAAGACCAAAGAGGGGGACCUUCGGGCCUCUUGCCAUCAGAUGUGCCCAGAUGGGAUUAGCUAGUAGGUGGGGUAACGGCUCACCUAGGCGACGAUCCAUAGCUGGUCUGAGAGGAUGACCAGCCACACUGGAACUGAGACACGGUCCAGACUCCUACGGGAGGCAGCAGUGGGGAAUAUUGAACAAUGGGCGCAAGCCUGAUGCAGCCAUGCCGCGUGUAUGAAGAAGGCCUUCGGGUUGUAAAGUACUUUCAGCGGGGAGGAAGGGAGUAAAGUUAAUACCUUUGCUCAUUGACGUUACCCGAAGAAGAAGCACCGGCUAACUCCGUG
rnacentral:rRNA from 1 species